GCCAGACUCCUACGGGCGGCAGCAGUGAGGAAUAUUGGUCAAUGGGCGAGAGCCUGAACCAGCCAAGUCGCGUGAAGGAUGAAGGAUCUAUGGUUUGUAAACUUCUUUUAUAUGGGAAUAAAGUGAGGAACGUGUUCCUUUUUGUAUGUACCAUAUGAAUAAGCAUCGGCUCACUCCGUGCCAGCCGCCGCGGUAAUACGGAGGAUGCGAGCGUUCUCCGGAUUUAUUGGGUUUAAAGGGUGCGUAGGUGGUUAAGUAAGUCAGCGGUGAAAGUUGGUGGCUCAACCAGAAAAUUGCCGGGGAAACUGGGUGACUUGAGGAGAGGUGAGGUAGGCGGAAUGCGUGGGGGAGCGGUGAAAUGCAGAGAUAUCACGAAGAACGCCGAUUGCGAAGGCAGCUUACGAAACUAUAACUGACACGGAAGCACGAAAGCGGGGGGAUCAAACAGGAGUAGAUACCCGGGUAC
rnacentral:rRNA from 1 species